CAGCCGCCACGGGAAUACGAGGGGGGCAAGCGCUGUUCGGAAUUAUUGGGCGUAAAGGGUGCGUAGGCGGUUUGAUAAGUCAUCUGUGAGAUCUCUGGGCUCAACCCAGAGUCUGCAGGCGAAACUGUCGGGCUUGAGUAUGGGAGAGGUGAGUGGAACUGCGAGUGUAGAGGUGAAAUUCGUAGAUAUUCGCAAGAACACCAGUGGCGAAGGCGGCUCACUGGCCCGGUACUGACGCUGAGGCGCGAAAGCGUGGGGAGCAAACAGGAUUAGAUACCCGCGUAGUCCCUGUCUCUUAUAC
rnacentral:rRNA from 1 species